AGUGAACGCUGGCGGUAGGCCUAACACAUGCAAGUCGAACGGCAGCACAGUAAGAGCUUGCUCUUACGGGUGGCGAGUGGCGGACGGGUGCGGAGUACAUCGGAAUCUACUUUUUCGUGCGGGAUAACGUAGGGACACUUACGCUAAUACCGCAUACGACCUACGGGUGAAAGCAGCGGAUCUUCGGACCUUGCGCGAUCGAAUGACCCGAUGUCGGAUUAGCUAGUUGGCGGGGUAAAGGCCCACCAAGGCGACGAUCCGUAGCUGGUCUGAGAGGAUGAUCAGCCACACUGGAACUGAGACACGGUCCAGACUCCUACGGGAGGCAGCAGUGGGGAAUAUUGGACAAUGGGCGCAAGCCUGAUCCAGCCAUACCGCGUGGGUGAAGAAGGCCUUCGGGUUGUAAAGCCCUUUUGUUGGGAAAGAAAAGCAGCAGGUUAAUACCCCGCUGUUCUGACGGUACCCAAAGAAUAAGCACCGGCUAACUUCGUG
rnacentral:rRNA from 1 species